CGAUCCGCAGGCACGUCUGCACUCGUCGAGUGUUCGAUCGCGACUCAUGGCAAAUGUGAGAUGCAGUGUAUGGAGCGUCAAUAUUCUAGUAUGAGAAAUUAAUGAUUUAAGUCCUUCUUAAAUGAGGCCAUUUACCCAUAGAGGGUGCCAGGCCCGUAUAACGUUAAUGAUUGCUAGAUGAUGUUUCCAAAGAGUCGUGUUGCUUGAUAGUGCAGCACUAAGUGGGUGGUAAACUCCAUCUAAAACUAAAUAUAACCAUGAGACCGAUAGUAAACAAGUACCGUGAGGGAAAGUUGAAAAGAACUCUGAAUAGAGAGUUAAACAGUACGUGAAACUGCUUAGAGGUUAAGCCCGAUGAACCUGAAUAUCCGUUAUGGAAAAUUCAUCAUUAAAAUUGUAAUAUUUAAAUAAUAUUAUUAAGAAUAAUGUGCAUUUUUUCCAUAUAAGGACAUUGUAAUCUAUUAGCAUAUCCCAAAUUUAUCAUAAAAUAUAACUUAUAGUUUAUUCCAAUUAAAUUGCUUGCAUUUUAACACAGAAUAAAUGUUAUUAAUUUGAUAAAGUGCUGAUAGAUUUAUAUUAUUACAGAGCGUUAAUUUUUCGGAAUUAUAUAAUGGCAUAAUUAUCAUUGAUUUUUGUGUUUAUUAUAUGCUCUUGUAUGAUUAACAAUGCGAAAGAUUCAGGAUACCUUCGGGACCCGUCUUGAAACACGGACCAAGGAGUCUAACAUAUGUGCAAGUUAUUGGG
rnacentral:ncRNA from 1 species